UAGGGAAUCUUCCGCAAUGGACGCAAGUCUGACGGAGCAACGCCGCGUGAGUGAAGAAGGAUCUCGGUUCGUAAAACUCUGUUGUUAGAGAAGAACAGCGCAUAGAGUAACUGUUAUGCGUGUGACGGUAUCUAACCAGAAAGCCACGGCUAACUACGUGCCAGCAGCCGCGGUAAUACGUAGGUGGCAAGCGUUGUCCGGAUUUAUUGGGCGUAAAGCGAGCGCAGGCGGUCAAUUAAGUCUGAUGUGAAAGCCCCCGGCUCAACCGGGGAGGGUCAUUGGAAACUGGUUGACGUGAGUGCAGAAGGGGAGAGGGGAAUUCAAUGUGGAGGGGGGAAAUGCGUAGAUAUAUGGAGGAACACCAGUGGCGAAGGCGACUCUCUGGUCUGUAACUGACGCUGAGGCUCGAAAGCGUGGGUAGCAAACAGG
rnacentral:rRNA from 1 species